AGUUUAACGGCCGCGGUAUUUUGACCGUGCGAAGGUAGCGCAAUCACUUGUCUUUUAAAUGAAGACCUGUAUGAAUGGCAUAACGAGGGCUUAACUGUCUCCUCUUUCUAGUCAAUGAAAUUGAUCUUCCCGUGCAGAAGCGGGAAUAACAACAUAAGACGAGAAGACCCUAUGAAGCUUUAGAUACCAAGACAGAUCAUGUUAAACACCUCUUAAUAAAGAAUUAAACCAAAUGAACCCUGUCCUAAUGUCUUUGGUUGGGGCGACCGCGGGGAAACAAAAAACCCCCACGUGGAAUGGGAGCACCCCCUCCUACAACUAAGAGCCGCAGCUCUAGUUAACAGAACUUCUGACCAGUAAGAUCCGGCAAUGCCGAUCAACGAACCGAGUUACUCUAGGGAUAACAGCGCAAUCCUCUUUUAGAGCCCAUAUCGACAAGGGGGUUUACGACCUCGAUGUUGGAUCAGGACAUCCUAAUGGUGCAGCCGCUAU
rnacentral:rRNA from 1 species